rnacentral:rRNA from 1 species
UACGGAGGGUGCAAGCGUUGUCCGGAAUCACUGGGCGUAAAGGGCGCGUAGGCGGCGCGGGGAGUCAACGGUGAAAGCUCGGCGCUCAACGCCGAGUCGGCCGUCGAUACUCCCGUGCUCGAGCACUGUAGAGGCAGGUGGAAUUCCGGGUGUAGCGGUGGAAUGCGUAGAGAUCCGGAAGAACACCGGUGGCGAAGGCGGCCUGCUGGGCAGGAGCUGACGCUGAGGCGCGACAGCGUGGGGAGCAAACAGG